UGUUUAUAUAGCUCAGUUGGUAGAACAUGAGUCUCUUAAUCUCAGGGUUGUGGGUUCGGGUCCCACAUAGGACAA